AAGACUAUAGACCUGCGGAGUACCUGCGGAGGGAUCAUUACCGAGUUUACAACUCCCAAACCCAAUGUGAACGUUACCAAACUGUUGCCUCGGCGGGAUCUCUGCCCCGGGUGCGUCGCAGCCCCGGACCAAGGCGCCCGCCGGAGGACCAACCAAAACUCUUUUGUAUACCCCCUCGCGGGUUUUUUAUAUCUGAGCCAUCUCGGCGCCUCUCGUAGGCGUUUCGAAAAUGAAUCAAAA
rnacentral:misc_RNA from 1 species